GUCUUGUAUGGCUGACUGCCUAGAUAAUGAUUUGCAAACCUAUGAUGAGUAUGCUGCUGAUGAACCCUGUGAAGCUAAUGAAACAGUGGAUUUUAUUACUAGUAGGAACAUUGAUGAUGAUUCCAAAUACGAUCCUAUAGAAGAGAUGCCUCAUUCUGGUAGUACCCCUCUAAUUCAACCUCAGGAUCAACCUGUUUGGCAGGAUUCGUGUGAUGAAAAAGUUAAAGAUGAUUCAUGCACUUCUUCCGACGCAGGAGUUGCCUCACGGCAGACUAAGGUGAAUACUGAAAAUGGGGAUC
rnacentral:lncRNA from 1 species